rnacentral:rRNA from 1 species
UACAGAGGUCCCAAGCGUUGUUCGGAUUCACUGGGCGUAAAGGGUGCGUAGGUGGCUUGGUAAGUUUGAUGUGAAAUCUCCGGGCUUAACCCGGAAACUGCAUUGAAUACUAUUUGAGCUGGAGGUUUGGAGGGGGGACUGGAAUUCUUGGUGUAGCAGUGAAAUGCGUAGAUAUCAAGAGGAACACCAGUGGCGAAGGCGAGUCCCUGGACAACACCUGACACUGAGGCACGAAAGCUAGGGGAGCAAA